CUUUUAUUAAUUUCUCUUUCAUUUUAUUAAAAAAAAAAUUUGUAAACUUACAUCUUUACCAUAUAAUUCACCAUCAUAUAAUAGAAUAAAGCACCAUAUUUGAUCAUAAAAUAUUAUAGCAUUAACAAAAUUAACCAUACAAAAUAUAAAACUAACUUGUACCCAUCAAUAAUAUGAUAUCCUUCUCAUUGCAAAUCUAAUAUUUCACUAACUGGCGUUGGGUUUUGGUUAAGUUGCCAACGUGUGUAACACUUGGGGUGAUGUGGCAUUGGCUGACAUGGAUUUUCAAAUUAAAAAAUUAAUAAAAAUUAAAAAAUUGGAUUUAAGGUACCCAAACAUGUGACUCUUCAUUUUGCGCGUUCCUUCACUUUUACUGCUUGCUCUAGCAGAGUUUUUUCUGUAACUUGAUCACCAUUACUAGCUCUGAGGAAGAGAGAAGUUAUUGAAAACUCCAAAAAUCGCUGUGAGAGGCACAAUGUCUGAGUCGGUCUUCACUGUUGGUGUAAGGGAGCUUCACGUAGUGGCUUCAAAACGACGACGCAGAGACGAUGGAUACUAUGCACAUCGAGCUAGUGAUUCACCAGAGGGAAGUUUCAGAGAGGACGAGAUGGCAAGAUGGUGUAUGAGGGAGGUGUGGUAACGAAAGUUGAAAGGGUUAACGUGGAUACGUUGAAUAAGUUUUUUUUAUCAAUGAUUUUCUGAAGGACAUUGGGUAUAAUGAGGUCUCGGCUUUUUAUUGGCUUGAACAUGGUAAGAAAAUUGACUCUGAUUUGAGAUUGCUGGGGGUGGAUUUAGACAUUGUGAGGAUGUAUGAAGCUGCUGUAGCUGAUGGGAGGAAGAUAGAUGUGUAUAGUGAGCAUCCCAUCAAUGUCCCAGAGAUUGUUGAAGAUGAUGCACAAUCAACAGAAGGUUCCUCUGGUCAACCUACACGCAGUGUUGCAGGAGAAGUAAUGGAAGGAUUUGGAAUUCAAGGUGGCUCUCUUUGAAUGUGCAAAGACCACAAUUGAACAAGAGUUCAAUGAUGGAUUGGAAAGUAUUAGGAGGAUGAAUGCACAUGCUGACAUGCAUGGAAGUACCUUUAUAGAUAGGAUCCAGCCUAGCCAGUGGACUAGAAGCCAUUUUAGUGAGUAUUCGAAAGUGGAUAAUAUAACCAACAAUAACUGAGAUUUUCAAUGGAAGAAUUAAGAAGAUGAGGGGGAAGCCUGUUAUUACUAUGGUAGAGGAGAUAAGAUGUUAUAUGUUAAGGAUUCUUGCCUGGAACAAGAAGGCCUUAGUGGGUUAUAUGGUUAGGAUAACUCAGUACAAUAAAGUAGGCUUAAAAGAGAAAAGGGGGAGAGUAAUCAUUGGCAGCGAAUUCCAACUGGAGAUGACAACAGAGAGGUGUAUAAGGUGAAGUGUUUGCCUAUGAAAGUUAGUGUUCACUUGGGAAGGAAAACAUGUUCUUGCAAAUUCUGGAAACUCACUAGUCUGCCAUGCAAACAUGCAUGUGCUGCAUUGGCUUACCAGAAUAUAGGAGCUGGAGAUUUUGCACAUAAUUGACACUUUAUGAGUGCAUACAACUCCAUAUAUGUAGCAUUUGGUUCAGCAUGUACCAAGUCAAAAGUGCACCACCCCAAAUGUCACACAUUGGCAACUUAACCAACGAAACCCAACCGCAGUUAGUGAAAUAUGUGCAAUGCGGAGGCUAUAAUUGAUAGGACAAGUAUACACAAAUCUUAGAAGCUCAGACCCAAGAAUCCCAACAGAGUGCAGAGGAAGGCAACGGAUCAAUGGUGGACCCUAAUGCACUUUGGCAAGAGACGGUUGGAGAGCCAUACAAGAACCACAUUUAUGUAAAGGAUCCUUCUUCACCAGCACACUUCGAUCGGAUCCUUUGGCUGAGGACCGCAUUCGUGACUUGUUAGCUCGCCUUGAUUAGCGCGAGUCGAUUGGUCGAGGAGGAUAGACAUGUCAUUGCAGUGGAUGGUGAGGAUAUCCCAAGGGACCAAGAGGAGAACUGCAAGAUGUGGGAGAACAUUGCUAGACCUAGUUCCACACAGGCGGGGGGUCGUCAUCAGCACUGGUACCACCGACGCUGCAAGAUGAUCACCAUCAACAUGAGGACGAUUCUAAGGACGGAAAAGUCAAGGGGACCAGCAACUUUGUUAAAUUCUGACCAGCAAAAAAAAGUGAGCCAUUAGAUGAAAUCUCACACCAAUCUCAUACCAUUAAAACCAUCAUUGAUGGCUAUUUGAUGGCUACAAAUCACAAAAGUUGCUGGCCCUCUAGCAUUCCUCUUCUAAGGACUAUGUGGACUCGUACUUUGAUGUUUUAUUGUUUAGUGCAUAUUUGUGUUUCAGUCAAGGUUGCGAGAACUGAACCUGUCAAUAAACCAGUGAAAACACUGGUUUAAUAGUUUAAUGGUUCGAUCGGGGUUCAACCGAAAUUCAACCGAUUUAAUUAAAUAUUAAAUAUAUAAAUUAAAUAAUUUCUAACUUAAUAAAAUUUAAAAUUUUACGUAAUAAAUUAUCC